rnacentral:rRNA from 2 species
AACACGUGGGCAACCUGCCUGUAAGACUGGGAUAACUUCGGGAAACCGAAGCUAAUACCGGAUAGGAUCUUCUCCUUCAUGGGAGAUGAUUGAAAGAUGGUUUCGGCUAUCACUUACAGAUGGGCCCGCGGUGCAUUAGCUAGUUGGUGAGGUAACGGCUCACCAAGGCAACGAUGCAUAGCCGACCUGAGAGGGUGAUCGGCCACACUGGGACUGAGACACGGCCCAGACUCCUACGGGAGGCAGCAGUAGGGAAUCUUCCGCAAUGGACGAAAGUCUGACGGAGCAACGCCGCGUGAGUGAUGAAGGCUUUCGGGUCGUAAAACUCUGUUGUUAGGGAAGAACAAGUACGAGAGUAACUGCUCGUACCUUGACGGUACCUAACCAGAAAGCCACGGCUAACUACGUGCCAGCAGCCGCGGUAAUACGUAGGUGGCAAGCGUUAUCCGGAAUUAUUGGGCGUAAAGCGCGCGCAGGCGGUUUCUUAAGUCUGAUGUGAAAGCCCACGGCUCAACCGUGGAGGGUCAUUGGAAACUGGGGAACUUGAGUGCAGAAGAGAAAAGCGGAAUUCCACGUGUAGCGGUGAAAUGCGUAGAGAUGUGGAGGAACACCAGUGGCGAAGGCGGCUUUUUGGUCUGUAACUGACGCU